rnacentral:rRNA from 1 species
AUACGUAGGGGGCGAGCGUUGUCCGGAAUGAUUGGGCGUAAAGCGCAUGUAGGCGGUUUGGUAAGUCGGUCGUGAAAAUGCGGUGCUUAACGCCGUAUGGCGAUCGAAACUGCUGAACUUGAGUGCAGGAGAGGAAAGGGGAACUCCCAGUGUAGCGGUGAAAUGCGUAGAUAUUGGGAGGAACACCAGUGGCGAAGGCGACUUACUGGACUGUAACUGACGCUGAGGCGCGGAAGUGUGGGGAGCAAACAGGAUUAGAUACCCUGGUAGUCCACACUGUAAACGAUGAAUGCUAGGUGUAGGGGGUAUCGACCCCUUCUGUGCCGCAGUCAACACAAUAAGCAUUCCGCCUGGGGAGUACGGCCGCAAGGUUGAAACUCAAAUGAAUUGACGGG